rnacentral:tRNA from 1 species
ACGGGUGUAGCUCAGGGGUAGAGCAUUUGACUGCAGAUCCAGCAGUCCCUGGUUCGAAUUCAGGUGCCCCCU